rnacentral:rRNA from 1 species
CUACGGGAGGCAGCAGUGGGGAAUCUUGGACAAUGGGCGCAAGCCUGAUCCAGCCAUGCCGCGUGAGUGAUGAAGGCCUUAGGGUCGUAAAGCUCUUUCGCCAGAGAUGAUAAUGACAGUAUCUGGUAAAGAAACCCCGGCUAACUCCGUGCCAGCAGCCGCGGUAAUACGGAGGGGGUUAGCGUUGUUCGGAAUUACUGGGCGUAAAGCGUACGUAGGCGGAUUAGUCAGUCAGAGGUGAAAUCCCAGGGCUCAACCCUGGAACUGCCUUUGAUACUGCUAGUCUUGAGUUCGAGAGAGGUGAGUGGAAUUCCAAGUGUAGAGGUGAAAUUCGUAGAUAUUUGGAGGAACACCAGUGGCGAAGGCGGCUCACUGGCUCGAUACUGACGCUGAGGUACGAAAGUGUGGGGAGCAAACAGGAUUAGAUACCCUGGUAGUCCACACCGUAAACGAUGAAUGCCAGUCGUCGGGCAGUAUACUGUUCGGUGACACACCUAACGGAUUAAGCAUUCCGCCUGGGGAGUACGGUCGCAAGAUUAAAACUUAAAGGAAUUGACGGA